rnacentral:snRNA from 1 species
ACUUUUAUAAUAAAAUUUUUUUAAAAAAUCUGUUCUUAUCAGUUUAAUACAUGAUACAUCCCCUCUGGGGACCAUAUAUUAAAUGAAUUUUUGGAACAGGGAGAUGGAAGAAGAGCUUGCUCUGUCCACUCCACGCAUCGACCUGGUAUUGCAGUACCUCCAGGACCGGUGCACUUCUC